CAUACACACCCAAACCCUCACCCAUACACACACACACACACACACACACACACAUACACAUUCACACUUUCACUUGCACACACUCACGGACACACGGGCAGUGUGCGCAAGAUCAUUACUCCUUGUUUCACAUCACUUAUAACAAAUUUAAAUAAAGGAUUUCGCAAAAAAAAUGUAAAGCUCUCUCCAGGUGGUUAUUGCCUUUUUUCUAAAAAAAGAGUAAAUGCUUUAAAUGGGAGACUGAAAACUAUUUUUGAAAAUCGAUUCUGACGUAGAGAACAUUUAACCUAAGUGACUGAUGCAGUUGGCGUCAGACCUGAUAUUCCCUUAACGCUCAUAAACAUGGCUUGCUGCCACAAACGGUACAUGCGGACGUUGUGAACCAUUGCCCUUUCUCGUGGACUUACCGGGAAAAUUACACCUCUGCCGGUUAAUGCAGCAACUUGGUUGGUUUUCAAACUACACAAGUCCUCCCACAAUACACCGCUCCUCCAAACCCUGCACUGGCUACCAGUGGCCUCACUGACACUUACCUGGAUGCUCAGGCCCUUCAUACUUCCAGGACUUGGUCAGACCACAGACCCCAGCCCGCCCAUCCACUACACUCACUAAGAGAGGGGCCCCAGCUACCGCUCUUCAAACUUCAGAUCUUCUGCUGUCCUGGCUGCUCCACCGUGGUGGAACGAGCUCCCCGAUGACAUCAGGACAGCAAAACCCUCACACCUUCCACUGCUGGCUGAACACCCAUCUGUUCAGACUGCAUCCUGGCCCAUGAAAAAGGCCUGAAGAUACUCCUGUCAGGGAGAUGAAAGGAGGGAUGAUGGAUGGUGAGACGGACAGGAGGAAUUGCAGGGAGAUGGAGAGAGGAGUGGAGAGGAGGAGAAACGCAGUGGAGAGGAGAGGAGGCGUACACUGGAGAGCAGAAGCAAAUGAGUUUAUAGGAGGAAUAGAUAGACGAGGCGGAGGGGAGGAGAAGAGAGGGCCAUUUGUGGAGAGGAGAAGUGGAGAGGAGCAGCAGAGAGAGGGGAGGAGUGAAGCAGUAGAGAGAUGCAGAGGAAUGUAGGAGUAGAGAUAAGUGGAGUAGAGAAGCAGAGGAGACAAUGGCGUAUUGAAACGUUAGCAGCAGCCAGGGCUUAGUGUCCCCAACCGACAGCUGGGCCCCAGGCAGGGGCCCUCAAGGGCCCUGAGACACCAUUAGUCCCUUACGUACCGUCUUUUGUACGAAGAAAAGAAAAGGUCCCUCCUCAUCCUCUUGAAUGGCAGUCAAGCGGCGGAUCCUACCGCUAACACGUUUAUUUAUCUAACUUUACUUCAUCAAUCAUAAUACAGUUUACAGGCCGAACAAAGCAGGCCGGCAGGCCGGCAGGCCUUCCUGCCAACAGCCACGCGCUAGUGCGGUCGGGUUGAUGGCAUUCAUUUCUGACAUCCAUGUGCGUUAGGCCCUGGUUAGAACUGGCCCACAUGCACCGAACAAAUAUGGCCCAUAUGUCCGCUAAUACACACACACGCACACAUACGCACACACGCCGCUGGUGCAAUCCUGGGCAGAUUAGUCGUUGUUGUUCUUAUGUAAACUGGAUCAAGGGAAGGCAGCAGCAAAUCAUCCCAGCUCGCCUGCACAGACAAUAGUCAUGCUUGUCCCGUGUGUGUGUUUGGGUGCUUGCGCGCUUCUUUGUGGGUGCGUUUGAUUGUGCCUACAUGUGUGUGUGCACGCAGUUACUGUCUUCAAAAUAAUGUGUGUGUGUGUGUGUGUGUGUUUAUGGGAUUAGAAGGCCUGCAUGAUUGGGGCUGUUGUAAGCAUACUACUGAGUGUACUGUUGUUGAAUGAUGUUUGUUAACACAUUGUUUUACCGGUCAGUCAGUUUACUGUUUAACCGUAGCAUUUAAUUUAACCUUGUAAAUAAACUGUUGUUAGCCUACUGUUUCACCUUAUUGUUAGUUUAAGGUUUUACCUUACUUUUAGCUCACAAUUCUGUGAGCGUGCUUACUGGUAAACCUCAGUGUAGCCUCCUGAUUUAGAACACUGCUGUGUGCGGAAAGUUACAAAUAUGAUGUUUGACACACCCUUCUCAGGGACUGCUCAGUAACAGAUUCAACAAAUUCUUGUU